AUGCGGAUGGCCGCGCAGUUCACGGCUCGGGUGAAAAAGCAGUCGACUAUGUGGGAGCCUGCCAUGCAGUCCACAGCUGGGGACUCAUCAGUUCUGCUUCUCACAGUGAGGUUCCCUGCUCAGCUGCUGGGGCUGCUGGUGCUCUGGAUCCCAGGAUCUAGUGAAGAUGUCGCACUGACGCAGACCCCACUUUCCCUGCCCAUCACGCUUAGACAGCCGGCCUCCAUCUCCUGCAGGGCCAGUCAGAGCCUCCUGUACACUGAUGGAAACACCUAUCUAAGCUGGCACCUGCAGAAGCCAGGCCAGUCUCCACAGCGCCUGAUCUAUCAGGUUUCCAACCAGGACUCCGGGGUCCCAGACAGGUUCAGUGGCAGCGGGUCAAGGACAGAUUUCACCCUGAGAAUCAGCAGGGUGGAGGCUGAGGACGUCGGAGUUUAUUGCUGCAUGCAGGGUACACUCGAGCCUCCCACAGUGGUUCAACCCCGAACACAAACCUCUCUGUCUGGUGCGUCACCACCCUCCACACGUUUUGCCUGAGUGGGGAGCAGACACAGCAGAGUCUCAGUGGCCCCGAGAGGCAGAUGCUGGAGACAUCAGGGCAUCACGUGCAGCUAAGGGCUCUGGACCGUGUCGCGGCCCCUCAGCUGCACCAGCCCAGUGCGACAUGACCCCCACCAGGACAGAGGAGAUGGACAUGCCCACUGAACAGUACAAGGGAAGGGAGAGCGGAUCUGCACCCCAUCCACACCCUCCCCGCCUGUGUGCCUGGGUCAGGGACAUGGAAUCAGCUGAAGAGUCAG